rnacentral:lncRNA from 1 species
ACCCCAUGAAGUUAAACUCUUUCCUGAUUGAUGUGUUUUAUCUUCUUCUUCUUCUUCUUUUUUUUUUUUUUGACACAGGGUUUCUCUGUAUAGCCCUGGCUAUCCUGGAACUCAUUUUGUAGACCAGGCUGGCCUCGAACUCAGAAAUCCGCCUGCCUCUGCCUCCCAAGUGCUGGGAUUAAAGGCGUGCGCCACCACGUCCAGCUUUGUCUUCAUUUUUAUACACAAAUAUAAUACCAAUUAAGUUGGAGGGUCAGUUCUUGCCGCAGUAUUGUGGAAUGCUCCAGUACAGGGCAUGAAUUCUUUUAUCUUUCUAUUCCCUGUUAUGGGCAUUCCUGGGAAGGAUGAAGGAUUGGAAUUUCAACAUGAAGUAGAUGUUAAGUGAAUGAAUAUGUUAGGAUACUUGGUAGAAUUAUGUAACAAAGAAUUACAGUUGAUGAAACAUACAGGUUUUUAAUUAAGCAAUUUUCAUGACAUCUUUUUAUGCUUGUAUUUUGACAGUCUCAUUGUAUAGCCCUGGCUGGUUUCAAACUUAAGACUGCUGCCUUAGCCUCCCAGGUGCUGGAAUUACUGCCUUGAUUGUGUUUUUGUAAUAAAUCUCAGUUUUUGAGAUGAACAAUAGAAGAAAGUAAAUGUAAUCAUUAAAAAUACACUGGGAAGUCACUUACCCGUUGAUGUAGGAAACAGGACAAUUUUCUGAUUGUGUGUUUGUGUGAGAUUGGGUGUGGUGGUGUAUGUAGCCCAUAUUAACCUCAUCGGUUUCCAGGUGAUCUAUUAGGUUAAUAGAUGCAUACUACCAACCUGAGCUUGGAAGUCUGCAGUUUUUGAAGUACCUCAGGUUUGUUUGCUUACUUGUUUUCUGAAACAUAGUCUUACCAUGUAGUUCAGACUAUUCUGGAACUUACUAUGUAGAUCAAGCUGGCUUUGAAGUCAUAGAUAAAACUCCUGCCUUUCUUUCUGGAGUGCUGGGAUUCAAGGAGUGCACCCUACACCCAGCUGCACUUAACUUUCUUUUUUUUUUGUUUUUUGUUUUUCGAGACAGGGUUUCUCUGUAGCCUUGGCUGUCCUGGAAUUCACUUUGUAGACCAGGCUGGCCUCGAACUCAGAAACCCUCCUGCCUCUGCUUCCCAGGUGCUGGGAUUAAAGGCGUGCGCCACCACUGCCCUGCUUGUACCUCAGGUUCUUAAUAGAAGUAGAUUUCAUUUUACUUGUUGUAAAGAUGAGUAAUAACACUUUUCAUCAAUCUUUUAAAAAUACCUAAUAUUUAAUACUUAAUUUUACAUAUUUGAACAAAUAUGAAUAGAAAGAAAUGGUAUAACUGAAAACUCAAAUUAAAAUUGAGCUAUGUUAAUAUGCCUUGAGAACAGUAAACAUUAGCCUUUUUUAAUUUUUCAAGUUUUUUUAUAGUUAAUAAAAAAUUAAACUGUUAUUAAUAGCAUUAAAGAAUCAUGACUAUAAAUUAUUGUAUAAUUGCAAAGAAGCACUUUUAGUAAUUUCCUAAAAAGAAUGUUUAUCCUGGGAGAGAACCCUCUGAAGUGUUGAAUAGCUUUAACAUUCCUUACAGGCUUGAAGUAUAGUUCGGUUUUCUUAAAGUGUGCAUAGCAUGCAUAAGGCUUUGGAUAUCAUUCUGCCUUCAUCGCCCUCCCAAGUUUUUACACUAUGAAGAGCAAAAGUCAUCCUUAUUUUAUAAACAAAAAGAAAUUCAAUGGCCUGUCAGGAUAGUGGAUAUUGAAAAUGGCAAUGUAAGAAAUUGAGUCCUUACCUUCUUUAUAGUAGAUCUGGACUAGCUUUGAGAUUAUCCUAUCUGGUAGUUUACAUUUGAAAAAGAGGUACGUUAAGUUCUGGUAAUAAAUACAGCUGUAAAUAUGAUACCACAUUUCCUAUUUGAAAUUAUAUAAAAUAUUAAAUAUAAAGAAAAAAAUGUUAUAAUGAGCAUAUGCAUUACUUAGAGUUUGCUAUUGCUAUUUCAUUUGUCUUAUUUAUUUCUUAAUGUUUUUCUUUUUAACAAAUACCUUUAUUAUAGGAUAUGAUUUAAUCAUUUUCAGACCUGUCAACUCCUCUUAGAUUCAACUCUACCUACUAUCUUAUGUCUUGUUUAAAAAACUUCUUUUAAUUCAUUUUAAAAUCUUACAGAGUUUUCAUAUUCUCCAUAAGUAGAUCAGUUUUUCCUAAGUGGGUCAGCAUUUACAGUUAUAAAUAUUUACGGUCUUAAAUAUUUUAAUUUUCUUUUAGAAAUAAAAUUUAUAUGUAAUAUGCAAAAUCCAAGUGUACUCAUGCAACCAAAGCCAGUGUUCAAAUAGACCAUCUUUCAUGUUAAUAUUUGUUCUUGAGUUUAAUUUUUUAUUGACCUCCAGGGUCAUUUUUAGAAUUUCUUCUAUGAAUUAAUUGUUCAGGUUAUGAUUUAUAAAUAUACAACAUGGGGUGCUUUUAUACAUAUAUCAAGGUGUUAUACUAUCAACCUACAUAGUUUUAACACUAUUGUGAACAGUUGAAACAGUUA